ensembl:lncRNA LINC01592 long intergenic non-protein coding RNA 1592
UGGUCAUCUGCAAGCGCAAAAGACAGGCCUCAGAAGAACCCAACCCUAUUGACACUAUGAUCUUGGACAUCCAGCCUCCAGAACUCCUAGGAGCAGAGAAGAAACCAUAUUUACUCAUCAUCAUCCGUUAACAAACCAUCUGUAUGCCUAAUAUUGAUGCUGUCUUUCCCUAGUGUACUGGACAACCUAAGACAGGGAAAUAAAGAUAAAGUUUGGAUUGAAGAGUGAGGAGCCAAAAUAAUGCAGCUUCACAUCUCCUUAAUGGACAGAAGACUACACUGUUUUUGCUGCACCCAGAGAUAAAAUUAUUGGUUUUGGAGUACCUUCACUGAUGCCAGCCCAAUAUCAUGUCUGGUUUAUAUUUCAAUCUGAGCAAUGAGUAGGGAGCAACCCACAGCCACAUUGAGAGCCAGCCUUGAAAAUCAGAGGGACCUCUUGAUUUUGGACACGACUUUUCAGGAUCCUUUUGAGAAAGUGCUGGGCACUGCAAGCAACAUGUGAGACACCACGACGUCUGUUUUAUCCAUCGUGUGCCCUGUGCCUGGCAUGGAGCCUGUCCCACAGUAAGCAGGCAAGAAAUGAUUUUAAGUGAAAGAUUGAUUGGGCUGACUGGACUCUUUCUCCAUUCAAAAUAACCUUUCAUAUUUAUGCAACACAUAGUUUACCAACUUCACAGAAAUGAAAAACUUUGUGUGACGUGUUGGGGCUAACAAGAUGAAGAUGGACUCCUGCCAUCAUAAGGUUCCUGAUCUAGGCACAGGGAUUCCUGGAAACAAUUCCCCACAGAUAUCAAGGGAUGAUUGUAUUCGGCCAGAAAGUACAUCUCAAAGAGUAAGAAUUAGGCAAGACAUAGUUGGAUGUUGGCACUCCGUCUAGCCUGAAAGCAGUUAUAGAAGAAGGCUUUCUGAGAAGCGGUGCCACACGUCUUUUCAAUGUCAUCACAAGAGUGCCUGGUCUAACUCUCAGGGGAUACGUGCUUUUUGCCUGCUCAUUUAUUGGGGAGUGUCUGGAAAGAAUCUAUUGUUCGUGACGUCGCCUAUGUUCUCCUUUACUUCCCUAUUCAGUCAUUGGGUUGGAGCUACAUUUUAAGGCAAAUAAAUAAAUAAAUAAUUUUAGUAAAAGUUAAA